GCAAUGGUGGUUCAGUGGUGGAACAAUUACCUUUCACGUGGGAGACCUAGGUUCAAUUCCAGGCCAGCGCA
rnacentral:tRNA from 1 species